ACCCAGAUAGCUCAGUUGGUAGAGCGUGAGCCCAACUUAACCUCAGGGUCGUAGGUUUGAGCCCCACACUGGGCA